AGCAGCUGGGCCCUGGGGAUGACCAGGAGCAGCUCCUCCUCUCCGUCCUCCUCCUCUUGUUCCUCCUUCAGAGUCUCCAGCUCCUCCAGCGGCUUGGGAGCACGGAACGUGAAGUGUGGGGAGGAAUGAUGCUAAAGUGGGUGACUUUACCUCGAAAAUCCCUAUCCAGUCACUGCUGCUCCACUGAUGGUCAGAGGUCAGACUGUAGUGGCACUCCACUCUGGUUUGGGGGAAGUACAGUUGCCCCACAUUACGAAACACCACCGAGGCCUGUUUAUCCAUGGUAAUAGGAAGCUGCGCUCUUUAGGAAGAAAACAGACAUGGUGGAUCCAGGGAAAUGAGCUCCAGUUUCAGUCUGGAGGAGAACAGCUGAUGAAAGGUGAUAGCAGAGUCGGAUCAGGAAUGCAGCUUGAUCACAACACCAGCCGCCUAUGUGGCCAUACAAUAUGUUCAUAAACAACAAGCUCGUAAACCUACUGAGCGCUGAGGUUAUACCAUGUAAUCUGCAAAAAAACACAACACUGCCCCAUUGUAUAGGCUACUUGUGUGAGGAUGAAUAUAUACAUUUUGAUAAAUUCAUUAUUAAUCAAUUAUUGAAACAGUUUUUAGUGUUAGUUAUUGAUCAUAAAAGACAGCCCUUAGCCAACUAAUAGAUACGCUUUAUAUUCCAAUACUGAAACAAUGAUUGUUUUCUAUGUCUUAUAUUUAAUUCGGAAAAAUACACCAACCAAAACUAAAUUUGGAAAUUAAGUAAAGUAUUCAAUCAAGUAAUACAUGCUCGUAAAUGUGUGCUGUUAAUUAAAGAUUAGAAUAAAAAAUAAAA